rnacentral:ncRNA from 1 species
UUGAAAUUGAUGACGGAACGAGUAUGUCAUAGUCCAUUUGUAGAGAGAAACUUCCAUUGGCUGAAAGAAGUUUUAAAUGAAGGAUGACAGAACGCUACUCCUGAGAGCAGCUAAUCCCUGCCGUCUUGCCACGUUACGGCACCAUGAGGUGAUGAAAUAAAUGCAUAUUACCGUAUGCAAUCUAGCUUCAGCGUCUAAAAGCUCUGAAAUUUCCCAAUCUCACGGAAAGACAAAAAGCGUCUUUCUGUUCGACUGGUUCAAUUUCUUCCGCUUUUAAGCGAGACGCUUCCGCUUUUUAUUUCAUAAUUAGGGUGGUAUCGCGAGUUAACUCUCGUCCCUUUU